GAGGGGCAGCGGGGUUGUAGCAAUACAACUGCCGGCGACCGGCGCACGGGUGAGUAACACGUAUGUAACCUGCCCUCUGCAGGGGGAUAAGCGGAAGAAAUUCCGUCUAAUACCGCAUAAUACAAUUUGGAGACAUCUCCGGGUUGUCAAAGGAGUGAUCCGGCAGAGGAUGGACAUGCGGCGCAUUAGCUAGUCGGCGGGGUAACGGCCCACCGAGGCUACGAUGCGUAGGGGUUCUGAGAGGAAGGUCCCCCACACUGGUACUGAGACACGGACCAGACUCCUACGGGAGGCAGCAGUGAGGAAUAUUGGUCAAUGGGCGGAAGCCUGAACCAGCCAAGUCGCGUGAGGGAAGACGGUCCUAUGGAUUGUAAACCUCUUUUGCAGGGGAGCAAGGCGCGGUACGUGUACCGCGAAGGAGAGUACCCUGAGAAAAAGCAUCGGCUAACUCCGUGCCAGCAGCCGCGGUAAUACGGAGGAUGCGAGCGUUAUCCGGAUUUAUUGGGUUUAAAGGGUGCGCAGGCGGACUGUUAAGUCAGCGGUAAAAUGUCGGUGCUCAACACCGGCCGGCCGUUGAAACUGGCAGCCUUGAGUGAGCGAGAAGUAUGCGGAAUGCGUGGUGUAGCGCUGAAAAGCAUAUAUAUCAAGAAGAACUCCGAUUGCGAAGGCAGCACACCGGCGCUCAACUGACGCUCAGGCACGAA
rnacentral:rRNA from 1 species